ACCCGCUGAACUUAAGCAUAUCAAUAAGCGGAGGAAAAGAAACUAACAAGGAUUCCCCUAGUAACUGCGAGUGAAGCGGGAAAAGCUCAAAUUUAAAAUCUGGUAGUCUUUGGCUGCCCGAGUUGUAAUCUAGAGAAGUGUUACCCGUGCUGGACCGUGUACAAGUCUCCUGGAAUGGAGCGUCAUAGAUGGUGAGAAUCCCGUCUUUGACACGGACUCCCAGUGCUUUUGUGGUGCGCUCUCAACGAGUCGAGUUGUUUGGGAAUGCAGCUCAAAAUGGGUGGUGAAUUCCAUCUAAAGCUAAAUAUUGGCGAGAGACCGAUAACGAACAAGUACCGUGAGGGAAAGAUGAAAAGAACUUUGGAAAGAGAGUUAAACAGUACGUGAAAUUGUUGAAAGGGAAACGCUUGAAGUCAGUCGCGUUGUCCAGAAAUCAACCUUGGUUCUCCUGGGUGUACUUUCUAGUUCAACGGGUCAGCAUCAGUUUUGAUCGAUGGAGAAAGUCCAAGGGAAUGUGGCAUCUUCGGAUGUGUUAUAGCCCUCGGUCGUAUGCAUCGGUUGGGACUGAGGAAUUCAGCACGCCGCAAGGCCGGGGUUCGCCCACGUACGUGCUUAGGAUGCUAGCAUAAUGGCUUU
rnacentral:rRNA from 1 species